AUUGAACGCUGGCGGCAUGCUUUACACAUGCAAGUCGAACGGUAACAGGCCGCAAGGUGCUGACGAGUGGCGAACGGGUGAGUAAUGCAUCGGAACGUGCCCAGUCGUGGGGGAUAACGCAGCGAAAGCUGCGCUAAUACCGCAUACGAUCUCUGGAUGAAAGCGGGGGACCGAAAGGCCUCGCGCGAUUGGAGCGGCCGAUGUCAGAUUAGGUAGUUGGUGGGGUAAAGGCUCACCAAGCCAACGAUCUGUAGCUGGUCUGAGAGGACGACCAGCCACACUGGAACUGAGACACGGUCCAGACUCCUACGGGAGGCAGCAGUGGGGAAUUUUGGACAAUGGGCGAAAGCCUGAUCCAGCCAUUCCGCGUGCAGGAUGAAGGCCCUCGGGUUGUAAACUGCUUUUGUACAGAACGAAAAGGUCUCUAUUAAUACUAGGGGCUCAUGACGGUACUGUAAGAAUAAGCACCGGCUAACUACGUGCCAGCAGCCGCGGUAA
rnacentral:rRNA from 1 species